GACUUAUUAGCUUAGUUGGUUAAAGCGUCAUGUUAAUAACGCGAAAGCCACUAAGCCUCUGCCAAUCCAUAAGUCU
rnacentral:tRNA from 1 species